AGCGAACGCUGGCGGCAGGCUUAACACAUGCAAGUCGAGCGGGCGUAGCAAUACGUCAGCGGCAGACGGGUGAGUAACGCGUGGGAACGUACCUUUUGGUUCGGAACAACACAGGGAAACUUGUGCUAAUACCGGAUAAGCCCUUACGGGGAAAGAUUUAUCGCCGAAAGAUCGGCCCGCGUCUGAUUAGCUAGUUGGUAGGGUAAUGGCCUACCAAGGCGACGAUCAGUAGCUGGUCUGAGAGGAUGAUCAGCCACAUUGGGACUGAGACACGGCCCAAACUCCUACGGGAGGCAGCAGUGGGGAAUAUUGGACAAUGGGGGCAACCCUGAUCCAGCCAUGCCGCGUGAGUGAUGAAGGCCCUAGGGUUGUAAAGCUCUUUGUGCGGGAAGAUAAUGACGGUACCGCAAGAAUAAGCCCCGGCUAACUUCGUGCCAGCAGCCGCGGUAAU
rnacentral:rRNA from 1 species